GGGAGUGUGGCUCAGAGGUAGAGUGCUUGCCUAGCAUGCAUGAAGCCCUGGGUUCGAUUCCUCAGUACCA
rnacentral:tRNA from 1 species